rnacentral:rRNA from 1 species
UGGGGAAUAUUGGACAAUGGGGGAAACCCUGAUCCAGCGAUGCCGCGUGAGUGAAGAAGGCCCUAGGGUUGUAAAGCUCUUUCAGUGGGGAAGAUAAUGACGGUACCCAAAGAAGAAGCACCGGCUAACUCCGUGCCAGCAGCCGCGGUAAUACGGAGGGUGCAAGCGUUGUUCGGAAUUACUGGGCGUAAAGAGCGCGUAGGCGGUUCUAUAAGUCAGACGUGAAAGCCCUGGGCUUAACCCAGGAUGUGCGUUUGAUACUGUAGAGCUAGAGGACCAGAGAGGUGAGUGGAAUUCCUAGUGUAGAGGUGAAAUUCGUAGAUAUUAGGAGGAACAUCAGUGGCGAAGGCGGCUCACUGGCUGGUAACUGACGCUGAGGCGCGAAAGCGUGGGGAGCAAACAGG